rnacentral:rRNA from 1 species
GAAGGUGACCUGUGAGGGUUGCUGGAGGUAUCAGAAGUGCGAAUGCUGACAUAAGUAACGAUAAAGCGGGUGAAAAGCCCGCUCGCCGGAAGACCAAGGGUUCCUGUCCAACGUUAAUCGGGGCAGGGUGAGUCGACCCCUAAGGCGAGGCCGAAAGGCGUAGUCGAUGGGAAACGGGUUAAUAUUCCCGUACUUGGUGUUACUGCGAAGGGGGGACGGAGAAGGCUAUGUUGGCCGGGCGACGGUUGUCCCGGUUUAAGCGUGUAGGUGUGUGUUCCAGGUAAAUCCGGUUCACUUUAACACUGAGGCGUGACGACGAGGCACUACGGUGCUGAAGCAACAAAUGCCCUGCUUCCAGGAAAAGCCUCUAAGCAUCAGGUAACACGAAAUCGUACCCCAAACCGACACAGGUGGUCAGGUAGAGAAUACCAAGGCGCUUGAGAGAACUCGGGUGAAGGAACUAGGCAAAAUGGUGCCGUAACUUCGGGAGAAGGCACGCUGACACGUAGGUGAAGUGAUUUACUCACGGAGCUGAAGUCAGUCGAAGAUACCAGCUGGCUGCAACUGUUUAUUAAAAACACAGCACUGUGCAAACACGAAAGUGGACGUAUACGGUGUGACGCCUGCCCGGUGCCGGAAGGUUAAUUGAUGGGGUCAGCGCAAGCGAAGCUCCUGAUCGAAGCCCCGGUAAACGGCGGCCGUAACUAUAACGGUCCUAAGGUAGCGAAAUUCCUUGUCGGGUAAGUUCCGACCUGCACGAAUGGCGUAAUGAUGGCCAGGCUGUCUCCACCCGAGACUCAGUGAAAUUGAACUCGCUGUGAAGAUGCAGUGUACCCGCGGCAAGACGGAAAGACCCCGUGAACCUUUACUAUAGCUUGACACUGAACAUUGAGCCUUGAUGUGUAGGAUAGGUGGGAGGCUUUGAAGUGUGGACGCCAGUCUGCAUGGAGCCGACCUUGAAAUACCACCCUUUAAUGUUUGAUGUUCUAACGUGGACCCGUAAUCCGGGUUGCGGACAGUGUCUGGUGGGUAGUUUGACUGGGGCGGUCUCCUCCUAAAGAGUAACGGAGGAGCACGAAGGUUGGCUAAUCCUGGUCGGACAUCAGGAGGUUAGUGCAAUGGCAUAAGCCAGCUUGACUGCGAGCGUGACGGCGCGAGCAGGUGCGAAAGCAGGUCAUAGUGAUCCGGUGGUUCUGAAUGGAAGGGCCAUCGCUCAACGGAUAAAAGGUACUCCGGGGAUAACAGGCUGAUACCGCCCAAGAGUUCAUAUCGACGGCGGUGUUUGGCACCUCGAUGUCGGCUCAUCACAUCCUGGGGCUGAAGUAGGUCCCAAGGGUAUGGCUGUUCGCCAUUUAAAGUGGUACGCGAGCUGGGUUUAGAACGUCGUGAGACAGUUCGGUCCCUAUCUGCCGUGGGCGCUGGAGAACUGAGGGGGGCUGCUCCUAGUACGAGAGGACCGGAGUGGACGCAUCACUGGUGUUCGGGUUGUCAUGCCAAUGGCACUGCCCGGUAGCUAAAUGCGGAAGAGAUAAGUGCUGAAAGCAUCUAAGCACGAAACUUGCCCCGA